rnacentral:tRNA from 1 species
GCGGGCGUGGCGGAAUUGGCAGACGCGCAAGAUUCAGGUUCUUGUGGGGUAAAACCCGUGGAGGUUCGAUUCCUCUCGCCCGCA